rnacentral:rRNA from 1 species
AUGAACGCUAGCGGCAGGCUUAACACAUGCAAGUCGAGGGGCAGCGGGGAGUAGCAAUACUCCGCCGGCGACCGGCGCACGGGUGCGUAACGCGUAUGCAACCUACCUUUAACAGGGGCAUAACACUGAGAAAUUGGUACUAAUUCCCCAUAACAUUCGAGAAGGCAUCUUCUUGGGUUAAAAACUCCGGUGGUUAAAGAUGGGCAUGCGUUGUAUUAGCUAGUUGGUGAGGUAACGGCUCACCAAGGCAACGAUACAUAGGGGGACUGAGAGGUUAACCCCCCACAUUGGUACUGAGACACGGACCAAACUCCUACGGGAGGCAGCAGUGAGGAAUAUUGGUCAAUGGACGCAAGUCUGAACCAGCCAUGCCGCGUGCAGGAAGACGGCUCUAUGAGUUGUAAACUGCUUUUGUACUAGGGUAAACGCUUCUACGUGUAGGAGCCUGAAAGUAUAGUACGAAUAAGGAUCGGCUAACUCCGUGCCAGCAGCCGCGGUAAUACGGAGGAUCCAAGCGUUAUCCGGAUUUAUUGGGUUUAAAGGGUGCGUAGGCGGUUUGAUAAGUUAGAGGUGAAAUACCGGGGCUCAACUCCGGAACUGCCUCUAAUACUGUUGAACUAGAGAGUAGUUGCGGUAGGCGGAAUGUAUGGUGUAGCGGUGAAAUGCUUAGAGAUCAUACAGAACACCGAUUGCGAAGGCAGCUUACCAAACUAUAUCUGACGUUGAGGCACGAAAGCGUGGGGAGCAAACAGGAUUAGAUACCCUGGUAGUCCACACAGUAAACGAUGAAUACUCGCUGUUUGCGAUAUACAGUAAGCGGCCAAGCGAAAGCGUUAAGUAUUCCACCUGGGGAGUACGCCGGCAACGGUGAAACUCAAAGGAAUUGACGGGGGCCCGCACAAGCGGAGGAACAUGUGGUUUAAUUCGAUGAUACGCGAGGAACCUUACCCGGGCUUAAAUUGCAUUUGAAUAUAUUGGAAACAGUAUAGCCGUAAGGCAAAUGUGAAGGUGCUGCAUGGUUGUCGUCAGCUCGUGCCGUGAGGUGUCGGCUUAAGUGCCAUAACGAGCGCAACCCUUAUCGAUAGUUACCAUCAGGUGAUGCUGGGGACUCUGUCGAGACUGCCGUCGUAAGAUGUGAGGAAGGUGGGGAUGACGUCAAAUCAGCACGGCCCUUACGUCCGGGGCUACACACGUGUUACAAUGGUAGGUACAGAGGGCCGCUACCCCGCGAGGGGAUGCCAAUCUCGAAAGCCUAUCUCAGUUCGGAUCGGAGGCUGAAACCCGCCUCCGUGAAGUUGGAUUCGCUAGUAAUCGCGCAUCAGCCAUGGCGCGGUGAAUACGUUCCCGGGCCUUGUACACACCGCCCGUCAAGCCAUGGAAGCUGGGGGUGCCUGAAGUUCGUGACCGCAAGGAGCGACCUAGGGCAAAACCGGUGACUGGGGCU